CCGACCUUAGCUCAGUUGGUAGAGCGGAGGACUGUAGUUGAGUGUAAGCUGAUAUCCUUAGGUCGCUGGUUCGAAUCCGGCAGGUCGGA
rfam:Ipomoea nil DNA, scaffold: scaffold1286, cultivar: Tokyo-kokei standard.